rnacentral:lncRNA from 1 species
ACAAACCAACCAGAACUACCCCAGCCAACAGACCACGAAGGACACAGCCUCUGAGAGUUCAAGGUCAGCUGUGGUGGGCUUUUCCAGGAGUCCCUCCACCCCCAACCACCCUGGGCAUCAUCAGCCAGCCCGAGGCUCACCCAAUCUGUCGGCCACGGAUCCACGGCAGGAAGAAGACGAGUGUCCCAAAGACAGUCAACUGUGGAUGACACCACUCCAACCACAGCUUCUGGGGAUCAGGCUCCGCUGCCCAGGGUGGAGACGAGUUCUUAGUCAUCAGUGCCCAGGAGUUGUUGUCAAACAGUGUCUCCAAAUGCUCCGACAUGGACAACUGGGGCCGAGGCAGUGGCAGCCUUGGGGUUCACACUGAAGAAAGGAUACAGAGAAGGGAGAGACAGCAGCAAGGAAACUACCAGAUGCCCCCGACCCCACAAAGAAAGAGAUAAAGUGAGACCUGAGACCUGAUGGGACUAGAGGCGAGAUGAAGGCAGAAAG